AGGACGAACGCUGGCGGCGCGCCUAAUACAUGCAAGUCGAGCGUGAACCCGGACUUCGGUCUGGGGGAAAGCGGCGAACGGGUGCGUAACACGUGAGCAACCUGCCCCGAAGACCGGGAUAACACCGGGAAACCGGUGCUAAUACCGGAUGUCCUCUUCCGAUCGCAUGAUUGGACGAGGAAAUGGAUUCCGCUUCGGGAUGGGCUCGCGGUCUAUCAGCUUGUUGGUGGGGUAACGGCCUACCAAGGCUACGACGGAUAGCUGGUCUGAGAGGACGAUCAGCCACACUGGGACUGAGACACGGCCCAGACUCCUACGGGAGGCAGCAGUAGGGAAUCUUGCGCAAUGGGCGAAAGCCUGACGCAGCGACGCCGCGUGCGGGAUGAAGGUCUUCGGAUUGUAAACCGCUUUCAGCAGGGACGAAAUUGACGGUACCUGCAGAAGAAGGCCGGCAACUACGUGCCAGCAGCCGC
rnacentral:rRNA from 1 species